UGGGGUGCAGCUUGGUGAUAGAGCACUUGCCUGAGAUGCAUGAGGCCUUGGCUUUGAGCCCCAAUACCACAA
rnacentral:tRNA from 1 species